rnacentral:siRNA from 1 species
GGGAGUCUACAGGCACUGUGUCU